rnacentral:rRNA from 1 species
UACAGAGGGUGCAAGCGUUAAUCGGAAUUACUGGGCGUAAAGCGCGCGUAGGUGGUUUGUUAAGUUGGAUGUGAAAUCCCCGGGCUCAACCUGGGAAUUGCAUUCGAUACUGGAUAGCUAGAGUUCGGCAGAGGGAAGCGGAAUUUCUGGUGUAGCGGUGAAAUGCGUAGAUAUCAGAAGGAACAUCAGUGGCGAAAGCGGCUUCCUGGACCAGAACUGACGAUCAGGCUCGAAAGCGUGGGGGAGCAAACAGG